CCUCCCUCCCCCCCACAUGACCACCAAUCACCCACCCAUGUGGGAUGUGCAGCCAAUCAAGCCACCUGGAGGCUAUAAAGGUGAUCUGCUGCCACACAGUCAGUCCUUUGUUCCUCAGUCUGGUGUGCGUACCUGCUCAGGAAACCUAAUGAACUGUUUCCAAAUCAUCGUGCUCAAGCUUCAAUAAAAUAACUGAACAGAAUCUGAAACUCUGAACUUUUGAUUCAAAGAUUUAUGGUGGUUAGUUUAUCUGCACAGGCAACAGUUUUUGAGGCAGCUGAUCCUGUUUUACAAGAUUUCUUAGAAAAGAAUCUUUCUUCCUGACCUUAGAUCAAAUCAAUUCCUUCAUAGGUUAGUUCAUUGUCUUUGUAUCCUCCUCCUGAUGCCUCACUCCAUGUCCAAAUUAUAUCUUCAUGACUUGUUUUUCACACCAGACAUCAUGUUUGACUACAUGUGACCUUCAUUUCACAAGACGCGCCUCACCUGUAGAGUGAUUUAACUCCAUAACCGCCUGACAAACAAUCCAGUCUUAAAUGUAUUUUUAAUGUUUCCAAAACAGUUUACAUGUUACAGUUUAUAAAUAAUGAAAUGAUCAUGAUUAAUGUACAGACAGAUGGCAGCAGUCCAGGGACAGUUCUAAUAUAGAAAAAGAUCACAAAAGUUUUGGGAGUCGCUCCUCUUUGUCCACAAAAGCUGAAGAUGAAACGGGAACAUCUCAGAGCUGUAGAUCAGACGAGUCCUGAGAUGAUCGUGGAGAUAACCAGGUAGCUGAUGUUGUUGUGGGGCAGCGCCAAGAAGCAGAAAACUGUCGGGAUGAUGCUGAGCAGGUGUUCAGCAGAAACACAGCCCUGCACGAUGAGAAGAGGAGCGGACCCCGAGACCAGGAACUCUAAAACCAGCUGCCGUCCCAGCAGGACUGACGAGGCCUGAAGGACUCGCUGGUGAAAAGGUGGAGGGUGCGUCAGAUCCUGAAAGCAAAUUCAGUUUUGUCUUACACCAAAUAACUUGCAUACCCAUUAAUAUUAACAUUUAAACAUGCUUGAAAAAUGUAGAAUGUUUAGAAGAUAACACAGCAGCCUUUUUACAAUAAAAUGUAGUUCAGCUGUUUUAACCCCUCGUCUUCUACGUGAA